rnacentral:rRNA from 1 species
CGCCCGUCGCUCCUACCGAUUGGGUGUGCUGGUGAAGCGUUCGGAUCGGCGACUUUGGGCGGUCUCCGCUUGCUGGCGCUGAGAAGUUCGUAAAACCCUCCCACCUAGAGGAAGGAGAAGUCGUAACAAGGUUUCC